AUUGCCGUCGCCCGACCGCCGCCGCGGUGGCCUUGGCUGGUCGGGUGGGUGUCGGCAGGAGGACGCCGUUUUGCACCGAAGUCCAGGAAGGCGCCCAAAGCCAGGGGAUCAAACCUGCAACCUUGGUGUAUUGGGAGGACACUCUAACCAACUGAGCUACCUGACGAGGGCUGGAACGAGUCUUCAAUAGAGGAAACUUGGAGGCAAGUGGGCCCCAGGAAGAAGACCUUAGGGGGCUUGAGAUGCCCACUGAGCUGUGAUGAACCCCAGGAGACAGCCUCAUGGACAUAGGAGAGGGUUAUGCAUGGGCUGGCAUGGAUUUUUGUGUGACUUCUGGGGGUUCCCUGAUGAUUGACGUCGUCUAGGCACAUGGCAAGGGCCCCGUGUAAUUGUUACCCAGUAGGUUGGAACUUGGCUUCAGAUCACCCUUGUAAUAAAUGAGUGGCUGUUUUGUUAUUA